AACCCUAAACACUAUGCCCCCUGCUUCUGCCGCCACCCGCUGCUGUCAUGCGCUCCAAAUCACCACCAUCCACCUAUAAGUAAAAAGACGUCUUUGUCCUCCUGGUGAGACUGAAAGCCUUUCGCUCAUUAUCUGGGAUUAUGACAGUUGGGUCGAGUCUGCUGGAUGAUUCCUGUUACACUGGCAGAUUGGAUCGCUGCUGAAGGGAUUUCCCAAAUGGAAGGGUGUCUCGUGAAGCCCUAGCAAUGCUCUCCCAGCCUCUUUAUGUAAAACAUUUUCAUAUCUUUGUGUAACUAACAUAUAUCGUCAUUAAGGAACAUAAUAUGGCCAAGUCUCAAUGAGGAACCUUUGCGAGCACCAUCUACAUGUUCUGUACGUGUUGUGUAAGGGCAUAUCACAUUGAGUAAGAGCCAUACCGUCCGUGCUGCCUGGCUGUGCUCUCAUGCCUUAAGCUUGAGAAGAAAAUAAAAAAGAAAGGAAAAAUGUAAGAAGAAGCUGGAUCCCAUCCCAGAGGGAGAGCAGGUUGCAGCAGAGAACCCGUCCUGAAAUAAAGCCAACCCGCAUUUGGGUCCAUCACCUUACCUCCAGUCUCCAGUCCCUUCUGUAUGACAGAAGAAUCUGCCUUCACCAUGGACCCGGCAGAGUUGGAGUGCCUGCAAGGUGCGGUGUCCACGCAGGGAGCCCUCCUGGGCUCACACGAUCAGACCCUGCGGCAGAUCCUGGAGACGCUCCAAAAUCUGGUGAGUCAGUCACCGGUCUCCAGGCAGGCCAUGACGCUCGAACCACCGUGAGAGUGCCUGCAGCUGCUUCCGCUGCGCCCCCCAUGUCAUCAGAAGUCCCCCCGUGUCUGCCAGCAACUGGUCCCUGGCUGGCCAUGCCUGAAAGGUAGGACGGCUCGCCUGAGAAAUGCUGGAGUUUUAUCUUACAAUGCAAACUGGUGUUCGGGAGCCAGCCCCAUGCUUAUAAUUCGGAUGUCAGUAAAAUAACAUAUCUAAUUACUCUGCUAACUGGACCUGUGCUGGACUGGACUACAGCGGUCUGGCAUAAGCAGAAGUCCACCACGUAUGAACGCUUCUUGAAGCAGUUUCAGGCGGUAUUCGACCAUCCACUGUCGGAGCGCUUAGCCAGCAACUGCCUAAUGGUGAUCCAGCAGGGGAACUGGACCAUGGCAGCCUACUCACUAGAGUUCCGGACCCUGGCAGAGAAGAGUGGCUGGAACUAGGCUGUCCUCUUGGCCUCCUUCCGCCGCGGGCUGCACCCUCAGAUCCAAGUUGAAUUGGCAUACCGAGGGGAGGAUUGGACCCUGGAUC
rnacentral:lncRNA from 1 species